rnacentral:rRNA from 1 species
CCCUUAGGCGUUCUGGGCCGCACGCGCGCUACACUGACGAAGGCAACGAGCUUUCCUUUACCGAAAGGUACGGGUAAUCUUUUGAAACUUCGUCGUGCUGGGGAUAGAUCCUUGCAAUUAUUGAUCUUAAACGAGGAAUUCCUAGUAAGCGCAAGUCAUCAACUUGCGUUGAUUACGUCCCUGCCCUUUGUACACACCGCCCGUCGCUACUACCGAUUGAAUGGUUUAGUGAGGCCUUCGGAUCCGCGACUCGUUUUGUGGAGAAGUUGGACAAACUCAGUCAUUUAGAGGAAGUAAAAGUCGUAACA